UCUUAGUGGGUGAGUAAGAACUAUCUGCUAAGCUGUCUCUGGGUCCUCUGACUAAACUGAUGACAAGCUUUUAUUUGGGAACCCGGCAAGUCUGCGAGGAAAGGAGAGGACGAGAAAUCUGAACCCCACAGUCCAGACAAUGAAACUGAGGAACAGAAAGGAUAGGUGACUUGCCCAAAGUCACCCGACUGAUCCCCUUGCUACAGAUGCUGAAACCAAGGACCAGAGAGGCUCUUCACGAACCAAGAGAAGAUGGACCAGAGAAACGCAGAAGUUCAGCACUGACAACAGAAACAUGGAGAGAGUUAACGUUGGAAGACCAGGAAGAAGUUUGAAUUUGCUUUCUGGAUGGGCCACCACCUUCAGUGAGGCAGUUCACCUCGUCCGAUACCCAAGGGCAAGGAAAACAGAAAGAUGACAGAACUAAAGAAUCCAGAAGGGCUCAGCUUCCAUUUCCCAUCACUGCAGUUCUGGCAUCAAUUAUUCAAGCUGAGUCUGGGUUUGAAGACCAUCUACUGGCCAGUUUCCUGCAGGUUAGAGUGGAGAUGGAUUUUGGAGGCUUGCUGCCCAGGGGCAUCAGGCUUUGGCAAGCAGGUGUCUUGGCAGCCUGGACACAUGAAAUCUACUGACCAGUCCAAAGAAAGAGUUUGUGUGUAGGGGGGUUGGGGGGAGGGGGAGAGAGAGAAUGUGUGUGUGUGUAUAUCUUAAUUCUGUAAACAUGUAGUUAAAAAGGCCACUUCAGCGCUAACUUGUCAUUCCUGUGAGCUGUUUGUCAUUGUUUAUCCUUUCCCUCCCUUUCAUUUUCACUCUGGAUUUAGUUUCAUCCAAAACACUGUUUUCUCCUUCCUCCUCCUCCUCCUCCUCUCCCCAACCCUUAUUGCUGGCCCCCUGGGGCUUAAUUACACCUCUCUUCAAGACAGAGAGCCGGGUGGGUGGGUGGGGAGUAGGGGCUACAAGUGAAGUGUUUUGUAUCUUGGGGUAAUUUGCCCUCUAAAACCCCCCUUGGUUGUUGCUGCCACAAAUCUUUGGCUGGCAGCAGAUGUGGUCUGUCCAUUCUAGCUGAACUAGCGGUUGCAGCUUCUGU